AGUGAACGCUGGCGGUAGGCCUAACACAUGCAAGUCGAACGGCAGCACAGUAAGAGCUUGCUCUUACGGGUGGCGAGUGGCGGACGGGUGAGGAAUACAUCGGAAUCUACUUUUUCGUGGGGGAUAACGUAGGGAAACUUACGCUAAUACCGCAUACGACCUACGGGUGAAAGCAGGGGAUCUUCGGACCUUGCGCGAUUGAAUGAGCCGAUGUCGGAUUAGAUAGUUGGCGGGGUAAAGGCCCACCAAGGCGACGAUCCGUAACUGGUCUGAGAGGAUGAUCAGCCACACUGGAACGGAAAAACGGUCCAGACUCCUACGGGAGGCAGCAGUGGGGAAUAUUGGACAAUGGGCGCAAGCCUGAUCCAGCCAUACCGCGUGGGUGAAGAAGGCCUUCGGGUUGUAAAGCCCUUUUGUUGGGAAAGAAAAGCAGCAGGUUAAUACCCCGCUGUUCUGACGGUACCCAAAGAAUAAGCACCGGCUAACUUCGUG
rnacentral:rRNA from 1 species